AGAAUCUUUCGCAAUGGGCGCAAGCCUGACGAGGCGACGCCGUGUGAGCGAAGAAGGCCUUCGGGUUGUAACGCUCUUUCGCCAGGGAACAAGGGAGACGGGAUAACACCACGUUGACUUGAUGGUACUUGGUAAAGAAGCACCGGCUAACUCCGUGCCAGCAGCUGCGGUAAUACGGAGGGUGCAAGCAUCGAUCGGAAUUACUGGGAGUAAAGGGCGCGUAGGCGGCUAGAAAAGUCGGAUGUGAAAUUCCAGGGCUCAACCCUGGAGCUGCAUUUGAAACUCUCUAGCUAGAGUGUAGUUAGGGUAAACGGAAUUCCACGUGUAGCGGUGAAAUGCGUAGAUAUGUGGAAGAACACCGGUGGUGAAGACGGUUUACUGGGCUAUAACUGACGCUGAGGCGCGAAAGCAUGGGGAGCAAAC
rnacentral:rRNA from 1 species